rnacentral:rRNA from 1 species
UUUUGUGGAGAGUUUGAUCCUGGCUCAGGAUGAACGCUGGCGGCGUGCCUAAUACAUGCAAGUCGAGCGAACGGACGAGAAGCUUGCUUCUCUGAUGUUAGCGGCGGACGGGUGAGUAACACGUGGAUAACCUACCUAUAAGACUGGGAUAACUUCGGGAAACCGGAGCUAAUACCGGAUAAUAUUUUGAACCGCAUGGUUCAAAAGUGAAAGACGGUCUUGCUGUCACUUAUAGAUGGAUCCGCGCUGCAUUAGCUAGUUGGUAAGGUAACGGCUUACCAAGGCAACGAUGCAUAGCCGACCUGAGAGGGUGAUCGGCCACACUGGAACUGAGACACGGUCCAGACUCCUACGGGAGGCAGCAGUAGGGAAUCUUCCGCAAUGGGCGAAAGCCUGACGGAGCAACGCCGCGUGAGUGAUGAAGGUCUUCGGAUCGUAAAACUCUGUUAUUAGGGAAGAACAUAUGUGUAAGUAACUGUGCACAUCUUGACGGUACCUAAUCAGAAAGCCACGGCUAACUACGUGCCAGCAGCCGCGGUAAUACGUAGGUGGCAAGCGUUAUCCGGAAUUAUUGGGCGUAAAGCGCGCGUAGGCGGUUUUUUAAGUCUGAUGUGAAAGCCCACGGCUCAACCGUGGAGGGUCAUUGGAAACUGGAAAACUUGAGUGCAGAAGAGGAAAGUGGAAUUCCAUGUGUAGCGGUGAAAUGCGCAGAGAUAUGGAGGAACACCAGUGGCGAAGGCGACUUUCUGGUCUGUAACUGACGCUGAUGUGCGAAAGCGUGGGGAUCAAACAGGAUUAGAUACCCUGGUAGUCCACGCCGUAAACGAUGAGUGCUAAGUGUUAGGGGGUUUCCGCCCCUUAGUGCUGCAGCUAACGCAUUAAGCACUCCGCCUGGGGAGUACGACCGCAAGGUUGAAACUCAAAGGAAUUGACGGGGACCCGCACAAGCGGUGGAGCAUGUGGUUUAAUUCGAAGCAACGCGAAGAACCUUACCAAAUCUUGACAUCCUUUGACAACUCUAGAGAUAGAGCCUUCCCCUUCGGGGGACAAAGUGACAGGUGGUGCAUGGUUGUCGUCAGCUCGUGUCGUGAGAUGUUGGGUUAAGUCCCGCAACGAGCGCAACCCUUAAGCUUAGUUGCCAUCAUUAAGUUGGGCACUCUAAGUUGACUGCCGGUGACAAACCGGAGGAAGGUGGGGAUGACGUCAAAUCAUCAUGCCCCUUAUGAUUUGGGCUACACACGUGCUACAAUGGACAAUACAAAGGGCAGCGAAACCGCGAGGUCAAGCAAAUCCCAUAAAGUUGUUCUCAGUUCGGAUUGUAGUCUGCAACUCGACUACAUGAAGCUGGAAUCGCUAGUAAUCGUAGAUCAGCAUGCUACGGUGAAUACGUUCCCGGGUCUUGUACACACCGCCCGUCACACCACGAGAGUUUGUAACACCCGAAGCCGGUGGAGUAACCUUUUAGGAGCUAGCCGUCGAAGGUGGGACAAAUGAUUGGGGUGAAGUCGUAACAAGGUAGCCGUAUCGGAAGGUGCGGCUGGAUCACCUCCUUUCUAA